rnacentral:rRNA from 1 species
UAUUUUGUUGGUUAUAGGACCGCAGUAAUGAUUAAUAGGGACAGUGGGGGGCAUCAGUAUUCAGCUGUCAGAGGUGAAAUUCUUGGAUUUGCUGAAGACUAACUAGUGCGAAAGCAUUUGCCAAGGAUUUUUUCAUUAAUCAGGAACGAAAGUUAGGGGAUCGAAGACGAUCAGAUACCGUGGUAGUCUUAACCAUAAACUAUGCCGACUAGGGAUCGGGCUAUGUUACUAUUUGACUCUCUCCGCACCUUAAGAAAAAUCAAUGUCUUUGGUUUCCAGGGGGAGUAUGGUCGCAAGGCAAAAACUUAAAGAAAUUGAAGGAAGCGCCCCACCAGGGGUGGAGCGUGCGGCUUAAUUUCACACAACACGGGGAAACUCACCAGGUCCAGACACAAUGAGGAUUGACAGAUUGAGAGCUCUUUCUUGAUUUUGUGGGUGGUGGUGCAUGGCCGUUCUUAGUUGGUAAGUGAUUUGUCUGCUUAAUUGCGAUAACGAACGAGACCUUAACCUGCUAAAUAGCCCGCGCCGUUCCGGCGGCGCGCCGGCUUCUUAGAGGGACUAUCGGCUCAAGCCGAUGGAAGUUUGAGGCAAUAACAGGUCUGUGAUGCCCUUAGAUUUCUGGGCCGCACGCGCGCGACACUGACGGGGCCAGCGAGUACUCCCUUGACCGGAAGGUCCGGGUAAUCUUGUUAAACCCCGUCGUGCUGGGGAUAGAGCAUUGCAAUA